CUCUUUUCUAUGAAACUCAAUAUAUGAUUUUCCAGUUUUUGUAAUUAGAGUAGAGGGCUGCAUGAAACUGGCAGUGGGCCAGAGAGUUUCAGGAGAGGAGAACUGCACCAAGAAUGGGAAACACAAUGAAGCAGUAAGGAAAUGAGGAAGGUCCGAGAAAGUGGGCAAGAUGCUGGGUCAGCUGAACGUCUUAGGAAAGGAACCACUUCAGACUUGACUUCCGCCCCUGGCAGAAGAGGUUCCUGGCUACCUGCCAAUUAUAAGCAGAUAGAAACAGAGCACUGGGAGAGAACAGUCAACCAAGGUGGAGGGCAGUGAGACAAAGGCACGGAGCCCAGGAGCCAGGAGAAGAGCUGAUGGUGGGGAAGAGCCGGCAAUGAGGAGAGGCUAGAAAGACCAGUGUUCUUAUACGCAAUCAGUGGAAGCAGUUCCUGCAGGUUCCUGGGACCACCACCAGGAAGACAGCGGGGCCUGGACCACACCUGGGAGGCAGCCCACAGGCUCAGAGGUGAAGGACCAUUGACUUGAAGGACACCUACGUCAAUUGGCACGACAUAGCUUAUAAAGACAAAGCUCUGCAUCCUACUUUGGCCCAGCACUAUGUCCUCUACUGAUGAGAACACACAGACACCAGUAAAGGAUGAGGUUGCCAGUCCUGAUGGGGAGCUUGUAGACAGAGCCUGUGGCCUUCUGCAGACCAAACCAAAGGGAUGUCCUGAGAACAAAUGAGGAGUCAAGGAGACUGACGAUGUAUGAAACUCGAGAGAGAAAGUACAAUGAAAAAACUGGAGAUUAUUUUCUUUUUCCUAAUAAACAACCAUCUGCCAGAAGUAUCACAGCUCAUGCUAAGCCUCACUGGAGACUCACCACAAAGGCUCAGAGCUGGUGGGGCCCAAGAGAUCAUCUUCCCAGUCCCAGAAUCAGAAAGGCAACCCUAACCCUAAAUAGAUGUCCACAGCGCCAUGGGAAUAGAUUAUAAAGAGAUGAGAGCUCUGUAAACCUGCUACAGCCAGAGCACAGGUGUCCAGUGGGCUCCCAGAACCACAGCCUUAGAGGGUCCCUAGAUGGCCAAGGACAUGUCUGGGACCAGCCACUGCCAGAAAAGCCAGCUCUUAACUCGGCCACUUUGAAUUCAGGGCCCAGCCCUACACCCCUUGUAAACUCCUCACAUACUAGGAGGGUUUCAGCCACCAGUGAGCGGUGUGCCAAGAGACAGCGCAGUUUAAGGCUAGCGCUCCUGAGGGCUGCGCCCUAUUCACCAUUGCUGUGGGCAUCCAGCCUCUGCCCCGUCCUGUGGCCUCGCAUGAGCCAGGGCCAUCCAGUGGUGGAAGCACUUGACCCUCACAGACUGGACGGUAGCUGGGGGCCGUGGGCGGACGACAAUGAAAACAAUUUGAUGAUCCUCUUCCUCUCCCGCUGCCCCGACUUUGGAAGAAAGAGGAAGAAUCUAAGUAUAAAGGCUUUAGCUUCUGAAAGAUUGGGUUUAUUUUGUCUCAAGGACUUCCUAGUGAUCUGAUUUUGGUUUCUUUGUCUCAGUGGCAAUUAUUGCAUUUUCCUAAGUUUGAUACCAGAGUUCUGAUCCCUGUGGGAAACCUUUCAGAGGCAGCUUGUUCUUCAUUGGACAGUGGGCUAAAUGUUGAAUGUCUGUGCUCCCGCAAGUGCACGUGGCAGGGAGUGCAGGUCUGGAAGUCUGGAAGCUUCUGGUCUCUCUGCAAAUACUUCAGGGAGCCUUUCAGAGAGGUUAUUAAGCAAGCCCCUGGAGCACACCCCCAAAACAAGUCGGACUGUUGUUGUUCUCAGUAGUCUCUGGGCAUCCCAAACACAUCUCUCCUUUAUUUCCACGCUAAUGAGAAUAAUCUCCCAGUGGAGGAGGCAGGAAGGAAGCUAGACAAUGCAUUUCCAUAAAGCAAAGGUCAACGACUGUCUCAGCACUUGAGCCAAUACCCGAAACACAUGCAUUCAGCCUGUACUAUUUUUGCUACUUGGUCCUUAAAAAAGCCUAUUUCCUAGAAAUUUGUUUCAUCCAUCCAGGAAAAAGUGAAGAGUUCCCUUUACAUGGAAGUUAGACAGAACUGACUGAAAGGCUCAGGGGUGAGGCUGGGGAAGCAGAUCGCCAACUUUCCAUCACCUACGUCUGCAGAGGACAAUCGAGAAGGUCCCAUCUUCUGACUGGUUCUGCAUGGCUUCUUUCUCUGGUAACAACAAGUUUUCAAAGAACUCUGGACAACUACAAAACCAAAAAGCCAGACCAAGUGCCAGGGAGUCGAUUCCGAUUCACGGUGACCCCAUGUGUUUCAGAGCAAAAGCGUGCCCCAUUAGGUUUUUAUGGCUGUGUGACCUUUCGGAAGCAGAUCACCAAGCCUGCCUUCCCAGGUUCCUCUGGGUGAGUUCAAACCUUCAACCUUUUGGUUAGUAGUUACUGUUCAACCAUUUGCACCACCCAGGGCGUGAAACUCUUAUCUGGAUUAUUUUCUGAAUGAUUACUUCUCGGUAAUAAUUAGCAUUAGGAGCAAUUUGUAAAAGGCCUCUGCCUGAGAAUCCUACAUGCUGUAGAGUUCUAGGUACAGAGUGGCCCCGAAUUAGGAGGAUGGGUUGGGGGCACCCAGUCCAAAAUCCUUGCCAGGGUGAGGAUCAGCUGGCAUCCUGGAGGAAAGGCAAUUUUCCCUCAGUUUGCUCACUUUGAGUGUCAAGGAGCUAACUCCCAAGCAGGGCAUUCUAUCCCAUGCUAAUCUAAUAGUGAGAACAUUUCUUCUUUUCUCCUCUUGAGCUUUCAUUUCUGGUCCUGGUUGUUUGUUCUCUGAGGAGUUACACAGAGUUAAGUCAGCUGUCUCCAUCAAACAUCUGAAGACAUCUAUCCUGCCUCCCCUGAGCUAAACAUCCUUGUGCUCUGAGUAUCUCUUACAGGGGCCCUUCUUGCCAUCCUGGUUGUUCUCCUCUGAACCCUCUCCAGCAAGUCAGGCUUUGUAUGUGGGCUGCAUAUCGCUUCUGCCUGCAUUCCACUGGCCAGAACUCAAGUACAGGUCCCACAUGCAGGUAGGUGUAUGUGUUGGGGGUGAGAGGUGGCUGGAGAGGUAGUACACAGAUGGGUGUCUGCUUCCAGGAACAGCUCCACACUAUACAAGGGGAGCACAGGCUGCAACUAUGGAGGUGUCAAAUUUUUUUUUCUCAUAUUUUGCUGAUGUAUGUUUUUUGUUGCUGUUGUUAGCUGCUGUCUAGUUGCCCCUGAUCAUGGUGACCCGAUGCACAAUGAGAUCCACCCAUUGCAAUCUAUAGGGUUUUCAUUGGCUGAUUUUUCACAAGUGGAUUGCCCAGCCCUUCUUCUUAGUCCUUCUUAGUCUGGAAGGUCUGCUGAAACCUGUUCAGCAUCAUAGCCACACACAAAUCUCACUAACAGAUGGGUGGUGGUUGCACGUGAGGUGCACUGGCAGGGAAUUGAACCCGGGUCUCUCACAUGGGAGGUGAGAAGUCUACCACUGAACCACUAUUGUUCCCCCAUAUAUACUCUUAGUCCCAAACAAAAUAUUAAAUUUAAAUAAAGUAGGGAUUUUCACUUCAGGGACCAGAAAAAGCAUAUGAAACUUCUGUAUUAGUUACUCAUUACUGUGCAACAAGUUACCCCCAAAUUUAGUGGUUUAUAACAAUAAUAAACAUCUAUUAUCUCAGUUUUGAUGGGUCAGGAUUUGGGAGUGGAUUAGCUGGGCAGUUCUGGCUUGGGAUGCGGUUAAGACACUCACGAGGUUGUGGUCACGAUACUAGCUGGGAUGCAGUCAUUUGAAAGCUUGACCGAAGCUGGAGGAUGGACCCAUUUCCAAGGUUGCUCAUUCACAUGGCUGGCAAGUUGGUGCUGGUGGUUGACAGGAGGCCCCAGUUCCUUCCCAUGUGGACCUCUCCACAGGCUGAGGGUCCUCAAGAUGUGGCAACUGACUUCCCUCAGAGCAAACAAUCCAUGAGUGCGAGGUAAAUGCAGCAAUGUUUCUCAUUAGCUAGCCUCAGAAGUGACAGUCACGUCUGCUAUGUGCUAUUUGAAGUUGGCACUAAGUCCAGUCCAUGCUCAAGGGAAUGGAAAUUUGAAGGGAAGGGCAUCAAAGAAUUUUUGGACAUAUUUUAAAGCCACCACAGCUGCCAUAAAAAAAAAAAAAAUUCCCUAUUGUCUUCUCUUAAGAUCUAAUACAAAGAUGGUUAUCUUUUGAUUUUUUUUCUUCUAUCUUCCACUUAAAACUGAUGCAAAUCUAGAGUCCACCUCACUGACGGCAUUUUUCUUACAAUUUCUGGCACACGUAGAUUUACUCAUUACCUUUUCAUCUCUUUCUCUCCUAGGAAAUAGAUGAGUAUUUUCUCCUCAGAUGAGGAAGCCUUGGCUAUUCUCAAAAUGGCAGCCUCCCCUGAGCUAGAGGCAGUGACAGUAGUCUUAGAGAAAGGCUUAUUCAAAUCCAGAAGGAGCCGUGAGGGGAGAUGUCUUCAGGGCUGUUUUCAAUUUAGUAAGCCCUAUAAAAUGAAUUCUUCGAUGGAAGAAGUGUGACAACUAAGGACAUAUGGACUCACAAGAACCUCCCUGAAACCCCAGAUCUUACUGGUGGUGGUCGUUAGCAGUGAUCAAAGGAUAGGCUUGAAUGAGGUGUAGAAAUUUUUAUUUAUCAAAAUUCUCUUCAGUGAGACCACUUCUGCUUCUUGCCCUGGCCAGCAUGUCCCAGCUACACUGCUCCUUGAACAUGUCAGGUGUGAUUCCCUCUUCCGGGCCUCUGCAGAGCUCCUUCCUCAGACUGGUUUGUUCUCCCUCAGUUCUUUUCGUGGAUAGUUCAUUUUUAUAAUUAAGUCACCUCUUCAGCAAACCCUUUCCUAACCAUUUAAUCUCAAGUAGCUCUUCUGCCACGACCAAGUCCCUCUGUUUUAGGUUUAUGGUUACACUCAUUGCUAUUUUUCCAGGUUUUUUCAUGUGUAUUUAUUUAGUGUGUUACCCCAACUACAAUGCCUGUGCCAUGAGAUCAGCCUGUUUAUACAUUUGCUCUUCAGGGUGCCCCAGUCCCUUGUAGGAUGCCUGGCACAGAGGUGUUGAGUGAAAGAAGGAAUGAGUGGACAGGCCACUUAGCUCAGCUGGAUGCUCAUGGUUAAAAAUUGCAAAACCAAAAAAACUCUCACACUUUCUCUAGCCCUUCUGAAAAACUAAAGGGUGAGCAUGGUCCCCCAAGGAGGCACCACAAGGUGCGAGCUUGCCCUGUGACAUAAGAGUGCUCAAGGGUAAACUCAGGGCUUUCAUGUCUAGUCUUUGAGGACAGUUGUUCAACUCUGCACUAAUACUUUUUUAAAAUGGGGGUGUCAAUUGAGGGCAGUUAUUAUGGAUUGUGUCUCCCCAAAAAUGUGUUGGAGUUCUAACCCCUAUACCUGUGGAUGUGAUCCUGUUUCCAAACAGAGUUUUCUUUGUUAUGUUAACGGAGCCAUACCAGAGUCCGGUGUGUCCUAAACAGGAAAUCACUUCUGAGUUAAAAAAGCAGAUUACACAUGGAGGCACGCAAACAUGUGGGAUAAUAAUACAUGACGUUGCUCGUUUGGAACUACUCAGUCUAAGCUUUUUGGAUCACGGCUCGAUGGGUCAAGUUAUUGUGUACAGCAUAUUCGCCAUGGAAUUCCAUUUUGAUGCACGUUAAGAGUACACAAUUAAUAAAUCAAUUUGGUUGGAAAAAAUUGUCUCAGGACUUUGUACAUUAAGCUGUGAGAAGUCACCAGACUGUGCACUUCAUUAUGCCAUCGGGUGUUUCGUAUUCUGAGCUCAAUAAAGGUACAUUGCCUCAAGCCGUAUAGUUCUAACAGGUAGAAAAGGGAUUAUUCAUGAAGAUGGAAAAUACAAUAAAGUAGAAGACCUUCCAAAAGAAAAAAUCAAACUUGUUGCCAUCGAGUCAAUUCCAACUCAUAGCGACCCUAUGGGACAGAGUAGAACUGUCUCAUAGGGUUUCCAAGGAACGGUUGGUGGAUUUGAACUGCUGACAUUUUGGUUAGCAGUGGAGCUCUUAACCACUGAGCCACCAGGAAUCCAGAAGACCUUAGAGUCUUCUAAAAUCAAUAACAACAUAUGGUGCCACAUACGAAUCCACCAGUCACUCCUUGGAAACCCUGUAGGGGGUAGUUCUACUCUGUCCUAUAGGGUCACUAUAAGUCGGAAUCAACUUGAUGGCAACAGGUUUUUUUUUAGUGAUUCUGAUGGAUAAAUGGCCUCAGCUAUAUAUACUCCCAUAGAGAUUAACUUGUUCAAAAGAACAAAUUGAAAAUGUUUAAAAAAAAAUAAAGAGGUCUAUAACUUAGAGACCCAAAUUUAUGCUCUCCCUCUUCAUUCCGCAUUCAGGGCUCACCCUGCCUGACACAUUAAUAACCCAGUUUUCAGAAGAAAUGUGCAGGUUAGAUUAAUUAGGU